rnacentral:rRNA from 1 species
CCUACGGGUGGCAGCAGUGAGGAAUAUUGGUCAAUGGACGAGAGUCUGAACCAGCCAAGUAGCGUGAAGGAUGACUGCCCUAUGGGUUGUAAACUUCUUUUAUAAAGGAAUAAAACGAGGCACGUGUGCCUUUUUGCAUGUACUUUAUGAAUAAGGAUCGGCUAACUCCGUGCCAGCAGCCGCGGUAAUACGGAGGAUCCGAGCGUUAUCCGGAUUUAUUGGGUUUAAAGGGAGCGUAGAUGGGUUGUUAAGUCAGUUGUGAAAGUUUGCGGCUCAACCGUAUAAUUGCAAUUGAUACUGGCAGCCUUGAGUACAGUUGAGGUAGGCGGAAUUCGUGGUGUAGCGGUGAAAUGCUUAGAUAUCACGAAGAACUCCGAUUGCGAAGGCAGCUUACUAAACUGCAACUGACAUUGAUGCUCGAAAGUGUGGGUAGCAAACAGGAUUAGAUACCCCGGUAGUC